rnacentral:tmRNA from 1 species
GGGGGCGAAAAGGGUUCGACGGGGAUCGUUGACGUCAGGGCUGCAUACCGAGGUCCCAUUGGCUCGUAAAACAAAUGGGAAUAAACAUAAUCGCAACCAACUACGAUUAUGCCCUGGCUGCCUAAGCGCAGCUAGGCGUCCCCCCUGUUCUUUCCUGUAGGGCAGGACGGGAUGUCAGAAAAACAGGAUAGUCUCUCCCCGACGCUUAUAGGGUGAGGGGCGAAUCUCCAUAAGAUAGUCCUUCUGAGAUCCUGCCUGUGGGAGUUUGGAAGGGCGAAUUUAAAACACAGGCUAUGUAUGUAGAUGUUCUGUCGGAAGGUUUCCGGACGCGGGUUCGAUUCCCGCC